AGCAAUAAUGAUUCUGAACAAGCAGGAUAGAAAUUCUUCCAGUUAUAUUAAAGGAUCCACAUACUUUUUUGGGGAAGAAAAGUGAGUUAGGUAACUUUAAACUUUGCAUAUUUGUUGGUGUAAGACAGGCUGGUCUGAGUAUUUCAGAAACUGUUGAUCUGCUAGGAUUUUCCCACACAACCAUCUCUGGGGAUUAAAAAGAGGAACAUAUGCAGUGAGCAGCACUCCUUUGAGUAAAAAUGCCUUGUUGAUGUCAGAGGUCAGAGGAGAAUGGCGAGACUGCUUCAAGAUAAUAGGAAAGCAGAAAUAACUCAAAUAACCACUCAUAUCAACCAAGGUGUGUAGAAAGACAUCUCUGAAUAACACAUUGAAUCCUGUAGCAGAUGGUCUACAACAGCAGAAGACUACAUCAGGUCCCACUCCUGUCAACUAAGACAGCACAGGCUCACCAAAAUUGGAAAUUAGAAGACUGGAAAAACAAUAUGAGCAACAUUCAGAAGGGAAGCACGUUUUCUUUCUGGCUGCUUCUCUGUGGUCUGACCAGAAACUAACUCAUCCUUAUUCUAGAAAGUGAACCACAACAUGUGGCAACAGAGCCCACAAACAUGAGCUCAUUCCUCUUGAGGGGAAACUAGCAACUGAAAAAAAACAGAGAUAGAAAGAGAGAAAGUCCCAGUGUUCCUCUCCACAUCCAUUUGUCUUUGGACUACAUUCCUGCUCCUCUUCCUCAAAUGAAAUGGUUAUCCCUGCAAACAAUGAGAAGACUGAGCUGCAGGAGCAUCUGCAGCAUGUGAAGUGGGACAUGAAACAAAAAUUGGCUCACAAGGUCGAGGUCAACUUCAGCAUCAGCACAUUCUUUGAGCCAAGGCGUUGGAGAGAAAGCAGGCGCGAACUGAAAGUGGCCCAAGUCUCUUCCUAACAUGCUUUUAUUUCCCACAUACUUCGUGAUCAGCAGGCCUCAGUAUGUUAUCAGGUAAUACUGAGACAAACAGCUGCUUACGUGCUGAAAUGUGGAUGUAUUAUUUGAGAAAAGCAUUACACAUGAAUCAGAAGAACAAUACAUUUUGACCAAUAGGCUAACAAUUAAAGUAAACUCAUCAGUAUUAAAAAUACAGCUGGAAAGGUGAACUGUUCCUACUUUAAGAGCAAGUGCAGGCAGAUAUGUUGCAAAAUGUAUUUACCAUCAUAAUUAAAUACAAAAAGAAAGAAUGUGCAGAAAAAAUCUGAACUCUAAACUCACACCUAUGAUAUUAAUUUAAAAAUCAUAGUUGACCUUUGAGUUAUUGUAACAAAAAAAGGAAAAAAAGUCUUUUCUGUGGCUAAGUCCUCAAUUUUCCUUUAUACCUUGUAAUGUUGUCAGUCUCCAUAUGAGUCACGUUGACCACGUGCUGUGUGCUUCAUGCUUUGCUCUGGAAUGUCAGGUUUCAAAUUGCAUGUACCUGAUAUUGCCUUGCCAUGCCAUGCCAGAGAUAUAAGAUUGUGUGUAACUGUAAAAUCAAAUGACUAUUAUUUAUUUGCAAUAAAAUAACAUAAAACACACACCAAAGUACACACAGGACUUUUUAUUAGUAAGUUACAAUGCGGACACAUGCACUGCCAAGGACAUUUAAAAAAAAUAAUACUAUGACAUUUCAUCAUGUUUCAGUUAAACAAGUUAAGAAUCAAGCAGUUAAGUAAGAAAAGAUUUUUUCUGUUUAUAACAAUUAGAACAUGUAUGAUUGAACACAGAAGAAACAUGCACUUUACUGCACUGCAACAUAGAAAAUUAUCCUAAGUGUAGAAAAACAUAUCAUUUUCAUUUGACAAACACUUGAUGAUACAAAUGUGUUUGCAGUGACUGACUCACCCGAGUUUCUUCCAGAAGCCACAGGUUAACAGGUUAAAGGA